AAAAUCCUGCGAGCAUCAAAAUCUGUAGGCCCGUGUGAUUUCUAACUUUUCUACUGGCAAUAAGGACAGCGUAUGAAACAAGACUAACACAUUCAUGCAGUGAACGAGAAAACAGGAGGUAAGCUUAUUUCUAAUGCUGCUAGGCAUAUCAAUUGCAUCAAAAACUAGGCAAAAUUUAAUUUUAAUUGCAGGGCUCACUGCCUGACAUUCUUUGAAGGGGACAGUAACAUUGAAAUUACAAGGAUGACUCAAACAAAGGCCAAAAGAACAGCUCCAAAUCUAUUCCUCAGAGAACAACGCUCAUCUGCUGUUGUUGCUGCUACGACCACUUCCUAUAUUGUUGGGGGUGGGGAAAAAAUAAAUUGG
rnacentral:lncRNA from 1 species